rnacentral:rRNA from 1 species
CGUGGGUAACCUGCCCAAGAGAUCGGGAUAACACCUGGAAACAGAUGCUAAUACCGGAUAACAACGGAUGAUGCCUAUCAACUGUUUAAAAGAUGGUUCUGCUAUCACUCUUUGGAUGGACCUGCGGUGCAUUAGCUAGUUGGUAGGGUAACGGCCUACCAAGGCGAUGAUGCAUAGCCGAGUUGAGAGACUGAUCGGCCACAUUGGGACUGAGACACGGCCCAAACUCCUACGGGAGGCAGCAGUC